rnacentral:rRNA from 1 species
AGGACGGACGCUGGCGGCGUGCUUAACACAUGCAAGUCGAGCGGUAAGGCCUUUCGGGGUACACGAGCGGCGAACGGGUGAGUAACACGUGGGUGAUCUGCCCUGCACUCUGGGAUAAGCCUGGGAAACUGGGUCUAAUACCGGAUAUGACCUGCUCUCGCAGUGGGGGUGGGUGGAAAGUAUUUAUCGGUGCAGGAGUGGGCCCGCGGCCUAUCAGCUUGGUUGGGUGGGUAAUGGCCUACCGAAGGCGACGACGGGUAGCCGACCUGAGGAGGGUCGACCGGCCACACGUGGGACUGAGACACGGCCCAGACCUCCGUACGGGAGGCAGCGAGGUAGGGAAUAGUUGCAACAAGUGGGACGAAAGCCUGAUGCAGCGACGCCGCGUAGAGGAUGGAACGGUCCGUUACGGGUUACGUAAACCCGUC